ACUAUUUAAUUAAAACAAAGAAUUGUGAUGGUCCCUGUGGAUGCUGAUGCAAUGUGAUUUUUUCCCAGUGCUCUGAAUGUUAAAGUGAAGAAAUUCAACCAAGCAUGGGUAAACGACGGGAGUAAAUAUGACUCUCUUAAGGUAGCCAAAUUCCUCGUAGGCUACCGUAAUCUUGCAUGAAGAAUAUUUUGUAUUGUCUUGGUUCCUG
rnacentral:ncRNA from 1 species